rnacentral:rRNA from 1 species
AUAAACGCUGGCGGCGUGCAUAACACAUUCAAGUCGAACGAACUGAAACGGAAGCUUGCUUUUGUUGAAAGUUAGUGGCGACGGGUGAGUAAUGCGUGAGCAACCUGCCUAUCUGUGGGGAAUAACACAUGGAAACGUGUGCUAAUACCGCAUAACACAACCUGAUCGCAUGUUUAGGUUGUCAAAGAUUUAUCGCAGAUAGAUGGGCUCGCGUCUGAUUAGCUGGUUGGUGAGGUAACGGCUCACCAAGGCGACGAUCAGUAGCCGGACUGAGAGGUUGAACGGCCACACUGGAACUGAGACACGGUCCAGACUCCUACGGGAGGCAGCAGUGAGGAAUAUUGGUCAAUGGUCUGACGACUGAACCAGCCAUGCCGCGUGAAGGUGACGGCCCUAUGGGUCUUAAACUUCUUUUGUAAGGGAGCAAUAAGGUGUACGUGUACAUCGAUGAGAGUACCUUACGAAUAAGCAUCGGCUAACUCCGUG